rnacentral:rRNA from 1 species
AGUGAACGCUGGCGGCAGGCCUAACACAUGCAAGUCGAGCGGCAGCGCGGGGGCAACCCUGGCGGCGAGCGGCGGACGGGUGAGGAAUUCGUCGGAAUCGGCCUUUUUGUGGGGGAUAACGUAGGGAAACUUACGCUAAUACCGCAUACGUCCUACGGGAGAAAGUGGGGGACCGCAAGGCCUCACGCAGAAAGAUGAGCCGACGACCGAUUAGCUAGUUGGUGGGGUAAAGGCCCACCAAGGCGACGAUCGGUAGCUGGUCUGAGAGGAUGAUCAGCCACACUGGGACUGAGACACGGCCCAGACUCCUACGGGAGGCAGCAGUGGGGAAUAUUGGACAAUGGGCGCAAGCCUGAUCCAGCCAUGCCGCGUGUGUGAAGAAGGCCUUCGGGUUGUAAAGCACUUUUGUCCGGAAAGAAAUCCCUGGAGCUAAUACCUUCGGGGGAUGACGGUACCGGAAGAAUAAGCACCGGCUAACUUCGUG